rnacentral:rRNA from 1 species
UACAGAGGGUGCGAGCGUUGUCCGGAAUCACUGGGCGUAAAGGGCGCGUAGGCGGUCUGGUAAGCGUGUGGUGAAAGCUCGGGGCUCAACCCCGAGUCGGCCAUGCGAACUGCUGGACUGGAGCAUGUCAGAGGCAGGCGGAAUUCCUGGUGUAGCGGUGAAAUGCGCAGAUAUCAGGAAGAACACCAAUGGCGAAAGCAGCUCUCUGGGACGGUACUGACGCUGAGACGCGAAAGCGUGGGGAGCGAACAGG